AACGUAGGACACAAGCGUUAUCCGGAGUUACUGGGCGUAAAGGGCGUGUAGGCGGACCUAUAAGUCUAUUCUGAAAGCUCCUGGCUAAACUGGGAGAGGCGAAUGGAGACUGUAGAUCUAGAGUGAGGAAGAGGAAAGUGGAAUUCCGCGUGUAGUGGUGAAAUGGCGUAGAGAUGCGGAGGAACACCAGUGGCGAAAGCGAACUUUCUGGUC
rnacentral:rRNA from 1 species